CGAUGCAACGCGAAGAACCUUAACCUGGUCUUGACAUCCCGGAGACCCUUAGGAAACUAGGGGGUGCUUCCAUCUGGAAGAAUCUGGAGACAGGUGCUGCAUGGCUGUCGUCAGCUCGUGUCGUGAGAUGUUGGGUUAAGUCCCGCAACGAGCGCAACCCUUGUGUUUUAGUUGCAAACAGGUCAAGCUGUGCACUCUAGACAGACUGCCGUGGACAACACGGAGGAAGGUGGGGAUGACGUCAAAUCAUCAUGCCCCUUAUGAUCUGGGCUACACACGUGCUACAAUGGCCGGUACAACGGGCAGCGAAGGAGCGAUCCGGAGCGAAUCCUAAAAAGCCGGUCCCAGUUCGGAUUGCAGGCUGAAACUCGCCUACAUGAAGUUGGAGUUGCUAGUAAUCGCGAAUCAGAAUGUCGCGGUGAAUGCGUUCCCGGGUCUU
rnacentral:rRNA from 1 species